AGAAAAAGAAAGUUGUACAUUCUCUCUCUCUCAUCUCAUUCACUCGGUCCUCUCUCUCUCUCCCACUCUUGUUCCAUUUUCUCUAGGGAAGAUGAUUUCCACAACCAUUCUCGCUGAUGCCGUCGUCGUUACAUCUUGAUAGAUUUUUCGGAAGGUUGAUCUCCAAUCACAUCCUUGUUAUCGCUGUCGAUUUCUCUGUGCUCAGGAAUCCCUACUUUGUUCCUCCUGUUUUCUCCCUCUUCCAUCUUCAACUCAGGAUGCUUCAAGGAUGAUACAAUGAGAUAGUAGUCUAGAGACUAUAGAGGAUUUAUAGAAUUUGCUGCAACAAAACUAGAACGAAGGCAAUUAGCCUCUACUUUGGCCGAAGCAUUAGCUCUUCAGUGGUGUCUCCAAUGGAUCCUCACAACAAAUCAAAAUGGACACUUCCUCAUAGAAACUGAUUCUAAAGUCACAGUGAAAUGUAUCCAAGGUCUGAUUUGGAUGGUUGAGAUAUAAAAUAUUAUUCCAGACUACGUAGACAUUUUAUCCACUAUGUCCAAUUGUGUUGAUACUUUAAUUAAAAGAACUAAGAUUGUUGUUGUCCAUAGCCUAGUGAGAGUAAAAAAAAAUUGGUUUUAACUCAUGGUUGGGAUAUGUCCCUAAAGUCGCAACCUCUGCUACUUGUACUAAUAGGGAUAACCAUCUUUAAUCGAAUACUUGUUUGAUUGUAAAAAUAAUUAUUCAUGUAUCAAUGUUGCACUAUGAACACAGA